CUCGAGGAGGUGAGCAAAGGCAGGUUUUUGCCCGGUCCAAAUGACUCACACAUUGUUUGGAUGUGGUUUGGAACGUUUUGCCCGCGUACGCAUGACUUACUUUAUAACCUGAGCACAUUCCAGGCAUACUGUGAAUUGGUUUUCCACCUGUAUAUGACGACGAAUGAUGAAGUCGAUUGCUUUGUGUUCCGCAGAAAGUUCAGUCUUGUCCGAACAGGCGAUUCAGCAUCGCCGUCGAUAAUCAGCGGCGUUGGCAUUUCACCAGUUUGUUUUUGCGACGAAUAGCGGCGUUAGGUACAUCUUGUCUGCAGAGCGUCACUGGUAUCAAGCGCGGUGUAAACUGUAUUGUGUGAUGAUGGCUCGUGGUACUUUCAUGUGAAUAUUCGCGUUGACUGUGGUAGGCAUCUGCAUAUUGCAUCCUUUAGGUGAUGCUAUGUCUGUCGCUGUUUCUUCGAAUGCUGUCUGGAUGUUUUUUUGACAGAUAUGAAAAUAUCAACGAUACUCGACAAAAACAAUUGCUAGCUGCCGGGACGUGUAGCGCUGCGACGCCUUCACAUCGUCGUUGCUCUGUCGUGGGACCGGUCUCGCGAUCUGUACUGAUGGAAAGGCCGUACGCGACCACACGAAAAACGGCAUGGCGUUGACUACUGAAGGGAGUGGAAGGAUAGGAGUUAUUGAGCCGAGCCUCAGCGCUGCCGACGGAAACGAUGUCUUGUGAGUUUCUUCGGGUACCCGACGCGGCGCUGGGACUAUAUUAGAUUGUGGGCAUCUGCCGGCUACGGACGGCAUCCGGUGGUGCAGAUGAAGUUAGCAUCUCGAGGCACAAGAGGCCACGAUGCAGGAAGACCAUGCCGCUUCGGCUGCAAGUGCUGCUGUGUCCAACAAGCUCGCGAGGGGCAUCGACGUGCGGAGGGGCUUUCCUCAAUGAGGCGUGGCUCCUGUCAAACCUGCUGGCAUCGACUGUUGGUCUGAACGGCUUUCCGUUGGCGAUUGGCUUCAGCGAGAAGAAGUAGGGACGGUGAAGCGCGAAUGCAGUCCCCAGCUAAUUUAUACGGCUAUGCAUGCGCCAGUGGGUGGGUCAAGAUGAAUCAGCGUUAGAGACGAAGCCCUCCAGGUUGUCUGACACGCGCAGAAGUAUAAACAAGAUUCUUUUUCUCGUAUCCGUAUCAGCCUUGCGUUGGUGUCCCAAUUUUGUGCAGUUUGAAGCGGUACGUCGCACAGAACGCCAGCAAGGAACGAUGUGCUACCCAGCGGCUUGCUAACAUACGCUUUACGUAGCUGUUAGCCCAUGCAUAUCCAGGCACAUUAUGACGUUUUCCUCCACCUGGCAGUAAUGGUGAUUCAAGAAAGCACGUUCAGUGUAAGGACGACACCGCACCGAACAUGCGACAUAGCACCGUCGUCGAUGUUCAAAUAUAAUGGCAUGUUACGUUUUUGCCUCGGUUAGCGAAUGCCGUUUUUUUCCCAUAUGUUCGAUACCCCCCUGAUAUUUUAUGUGUCGGGAGUAUUGAUUCUACGUGACAUACGCCUCCACUCGUGUCGACUCUGGGAGUUCACGCAAAGACAGUACGCAUCGCCUGGAGCACCGCGCGUGGUAGUCACCUGUGUGGUAGAGAGGUACUGGAGAGGGGGACAGCGAGGUACCGGUACUAGACGGGAAAGAGGGGAUGCAAAGCAAUGGUCCUGAAGUAGCUGCAUAGUCAGUGUGGAGCAUGCAGAGGGCAGCACAAGUCGGCGAGUGCAGGCCCAAUAGAGAAUCUGGUAGAAGAAACUCUUGUCCCCUUGGUUGCAGGCGCUGCUGCAUCGAACAGGCUCAUGACUCGCGGGAGCGACCCCAACCUGUAGAAGGGCUGGCCAGAUGUGUGAACAGAGACCCACAGAUUGCGACGCUGGUUCCUUGUGUCGACUGCUGAUAUGAAUGCCGUUACGUUUUGGAUUGUUUCCAGAAACACUCAGUAGGGAUGACGGUCCACGGCAGCACCCGAGAAAUGUUUCGCGCCCCGAUGUAUUAAUUCAUGUGCGGUGAUAAUACAGAUAUGUCUCACAGACUUUAAGUAUGCCGGUUUAGAGCAUGCUACACUAUUUUGCCACUCCUGAUGCAGCGGGCGACAGCAGUUACACGAAGAUGGAACCGACACACUGGUCGUGGUAACACUUCAGAUCGGCGGUAGUGAGCAAUGAUAAACUUUCUUGUUCCCGGCAUAGCGGUGCCGCAAUGCUGCAGUAUGAGACAGUACGGAAAGGCAUGCCACUGUUGCACCCAGAAUCUCAAAACAGAGUGUGAUGCUCAGCAGUUUUCUGGCGUACGGAUGACGUAGCCUGCUGCCCGAGCAUUGUCCAGGAAUAUCGUGAUUGGCACUCGACGUGCAAAUGAAGAUGAAUCAUGAAGCCGUCGUCUCUGCAUUCCGCAUAAGGAGACUCUGUGUCGGACAGGCAAGGAAGCAUCGUCAUCGAAGCCCACUUUUCCACCCAAUCCGAUUUUUCGUUGUUGCUGUUGCUAGCGGGACUCUUUCUACUGUACGUUCAGUGCGCCACUAUUGCCUGUUGGUCUAACGAGGAUGGAGCAGUUUGCUGGUGCAUCGCCUUUUUAUUGGAUGUGCAAGCUCAUUAUAACGUGUGGAUUCAAUCUGAGUAUCGUGUCACCCGGGGGGUUUUGUGUGUCCACAGCUGCUUGCUGUCCCUAACGCCGCCUGUGUCUGUUUGCAACGACUGUGACUCUUUUUAUUGUCACCAUGAUCAAUGUACUCGCCGUUGUGCUACAUGUCGGACUGUCUGGCGUUGCAACGCCUUCGCGUCGUCGCUGGUUCACCGCAAGUCCAACCGCACGGUCCUCUAUUCUUCUUCCGUGUGUGGCAGCGGGACCGCGGGCGUUGUGCCGAUUUGCGCGUACUCUUGCGUGUCGCCGCUAAUAGAUGUGGCAACCGUGUUCGCAUGCCAUUUUACGCUGAGACGUAGUGGAUGUGUGUCACGCCCGUUUGUGGGAGGUUGAGCCACGGGGACUCUAGAAGGCGGUGGCGACACUCGACGCUAUCCAUUCGUCAUGACUCGCGAGUGGAGUGCUUAUGUAUUCGUGACAUGACUACACGGUAGUGGCGUUUCCUCGCGGUCGCGGAAGGCGGUAGGCGACCACAGGAGUACCAAGCACGGUGACGAACAGUUUGGUGGCGGAUAGAAUGAGCGAAAUCGGGCGUUGCUCAGGUGCCCGACAGAAGAGGAAGUCGUCGAUGCCAUGAAUUAGGAGUACGUGCAGUGGCGGAAUGUAGCACGGUAUCAUUUUAGCGCUACAAUGCUGCCAAGACAGAAACGAAACGCUAAUGUGACUUUUUCAUGUGCGCCAGCUCUUGCUUGAGAUGGCGUACCUGCGUAACUCAAAGAAAUUGGAGCAUGCAAGGGGGACGCGCGUGACGUUGGCGUCGUGAUUCACAAGAAAGGACACGUCCCGGUACAGGAAGCCUCUCUUGCAUGCGUUGCAAGUGAAAAAAAACACAGCUCCAUCACAGAGGCUCGUGACCCACGUAAACGAGUGUGGUUUGUGGAACGGAUUGCCUGAUCCGUGCGUCGAGAGGUUUUGCAUCUGUCACGGCUUGGCAUCGACAGGUCGUCUGAAGGGUUCCUUGGUGUGUUUCGGAUUCAGAGAGAAUGCGUAAGGACGACCUGGGAUAACGGAACGCUGCAUCGGAUGCUCACCGUUUUGCAUCGAUACACACGUGGAGACAAUACGGAAGUGAGCUGGAACCAUUCUGUUGAGAAGCGAUGGAACAAGCAGCAGGAAUAUGCUGCUCUUCGUGCUUAUGUCGGUAAGACGUAAAGAUUGAAAUGUGUGAGCACCAGGAUCGGCGAAGGCAUGUACGCAGGGGCGAGUAUCGUUUUGCUGUAUCCAUGUCGGAAAAGCCUUGCAACGAUUCUGCAGUAUCAGCAGGUACGCAAACUACGGUUGCCUGCGUGCCUGAAUAACCAUUCUGUAACUACCCAUCAGGCGUCUUUCCAGCCGACAGGUGCCGUAGAUUCUGCAGUAUCAGCAGGUACGCAAACUACGGUUGCCUGCGUGCCUGAAUAACCAUUCUGUAACUACCCAUCAGGCGUCUUUCCAGCCGACAGGUGCCGUAGCCUCCAACGUGAGUAUGCUACAGGCAUAUCGUGGAUUGAUGUUCCACUGCAGAUGAAGGCGACUCAUGAAGCUUACGUCUUCGUGUUCCGACUAAAGCCGAUCCCUUUCAGACCAGGUGACGGGGCAUCCUUUUUCGAUAAUCAGAUGUAUUGCAAAUUUCGUCAGCCUCGUUUUGCGUCGAAUAUCGGACUUAGUUACUCUGUGUGGCCAGGGUUACACUGGUAUCAAGUGCUGGUCAGAGAGUGGCGUAGGAUGGCACGCCAUAUGUUUCCUUGAACAAGACGUUCGCAUUGACUUAUGAAUGCAGACUCUACAUUUGGCCUCUAGGGAGUUUUCUGUUUUCUGUAGUGCGUUUCUUGAGCACGGUGCCGAUGAAUGCGUACUGGAGUUGGUCGCUACCAGCCGAGGAGCUGUCUGCUCCAACGUCCAGCGCUGCGAAGUGCAGGCCGAAUCAGUGGUCUACUUAGGGACCUGAAUCGCGAUCUCCUCGUGUGGGCGUAGCUCUGUGAGUAGAGUGGAUGCCGAGCUAGUUAUUGUGGACAGUCCGUAUAUUUUUCUCCCGUUGGUGAAAGAUGAAGCACUGCCUCAAAUGUAAACGUGGGAAACUGAGACUCAAGGGACGAGUGUCCGGUAUGAAGGAAUCACGUUGGCUGCAAAAGGCCAUGGAGUCGCAUGACACUGCCCACGUAUGCCGAGAUUUGACGACUGCGCAGUUGUUGAUGUCGUUUAGGCGAGGAAAGUACGAGGACUCCGUCACUGAAUGCCCACAAGGUCUUCCCGGCUGCGUUAGAUAACCAUGAUGGCGCUCUGCCGAAUAUAAUAGCUGAACGGUAGACUGGCUGCGUGGGUAUGGGGGCGAGUGUCGUAACGUGACGGAGACCAUGGUGGAGCCAGGUGCACCAUUUUGUUCCGUCACGUACCUGCACAUUGGUGCGGAUGCAGUGGUUGGAAGGCGCAGUGGAGAUGCUGCAACGGACGAGAUACCUGAAGCGAUUCGACUGUUGGAUGUAAUGGCGGAGAGGCAGCGUUUCAGAAUAGUACCAUUAAUGGUUUCAAUUUGUUGCUGGGGAGAGAAUGUAUCCGGAGUGCAGACACGGUGACUCAGAUUAGCGAUUGGUCGGUGGUCAUCGCAUUUACAGGAGCUGAUGCCCUUGACGACAAUGCAUGUGCCCUCGACCAACUAUCUAGUCACAACCGGCUGUUCCAGGUAUUUAUGAGUGUACGUGUGUUUUUGACGCCCAUUCUAAGCGGCAAUGCGGAGUACAGAGACGGUAGCGAUGAGACUGUCGGCAGGUGUGCGUAUGGAAGAGUUCCAGAAGAUGCGGCACAUGAACACUGGCAUUCGUUUCAAUCGUAUCGUACCAAAGCUGGCGAACUCGUGGGUCGCAACAGACAGCAUGGGCGCUUAAACGUUCGAUAUACACUGUACCGCAGGCGAUGUACUACGGCAUUUUUGGCGGCGUUGCGGCGUUACCGGACCGAGGGCACGGGUGCGGUCGUGUGCGGGUCACGCCGGCGGCCGCGGGGGUCGCCAGUACGGUCGACGAUGAAGUGGAUUCGUCAGGUUAUUGAUUGGAAGCUGGUUGCUUGCUCGUGUGGUCCGCCGCCUAUUGUUCGAUGUGUUUCACAUAUACUAUGUCAAUAGUCGCUCUGGGGCUCUUGGGAGGAGCGUACGGCGUUGCGAGCUUCUGACCUCGUCACCGGUCUAUCGAGGGGCCGGUCUUACCAUUCUCGCUGGAGGUCGUAGUUCUAUGUGAGUUGAUAGGGCUGCAAACCACGGUAGAUCUGUUCACUAUGAUGGCCUGACGCAGGAACCAUGUUCACGUGCAGUCUUGGAGUUUGAGAAGUUGUGUCAACGUUUUAAGCACGUUCCGGAUGGAUGAGCAACACGGGCUUGAGAAGGAUAUAGAUGUAGCGCGCACUGGCUAUUUACGAUGAGUCGUUACGCGUUGCGGUUGCGUUGUCAGGAGUACUUAUCCAUUCGCGUCGAUUGCUCGUUUUGACGGAAAGUUGGUAGGCAUCGCCUGGAGCAACGCGAGUGGGAGUUAACAGUGAGGGGGAGGCGUCGUACUGAUCGUGACGCUGAGGUGCUAUUACUAGCCCGGAAAGGGAGCUGAAGAAGUUGUGGAUUUGAAGUGGCUGCAGGGACAACGUGGAACGUGCCAAGUUGCGCAGGUGAGGUUGGCGGCUGAAGGCCCAGAAGGCCCGUGGUGCACGAAUUUAUCGUCGUCUCGGUUGCAAGUACUGCUGGAUCUGACUGAUUCGUAGCCCGUGGGGAGCGGUCUCGGGUUGUGAGGCGCCAUGUCUGCCGGAAACAACAUUGCUAAUGUCAAAGCUUUCUGUUACCGAGCGUAGGUCCGAAUGACUUUGCGCUUUCGUUCAUUUCCAGCAAAAAGAA
rnacentral:lncRNA from 1 species